AUGGAGAAAGCCACACAAACAGAAGGGCAUCUGGGCAACGGAGCGGUGGAGAAGCCAUCGCUCACCUUCGAGUUGGUGUCGCAGUUUUUCUGCAUGCCGAUCGAUGAGGCGGCGCGGGAGCUCAAUGUGGGGCUGACGUCCCUGAAGAAGAGAUGCAGGGAGCUUGGGAUCCCCCGGUGGCCGUGGCGCACGGUGAGAAGCCUUCAGGAGCUCAUCGAUGUUGUUAAGGAGCUGGGCAAGGACGACACUCCGGAGAAGGCAGAGAAAACUAAGAUGGUGGUACAUAAGUUGCUGGAGGUGAUGAAACUGAUUGCGGAGAGACCCGAUGUUGAGCUGGACAAGGAGACGAAGGUGUUUAGGCAAGCUUGUUACAAGGAGAUGCAUGAGCGCCGAAUAAAGAGGAAACUCGGUAAGGUUCUUGAUGCAUGA
rnacentral:rRNA from 1 species